GUCGAACGAUGAUGCCCAGCUUGCUGGGUGGAUUAGUGGCGAACGGGUGAGUAACACGUGAGUAACCUGCCCCUGACUCUGGGAUAAGCGUUGGAAACGACGUCUAAUACUGGAUAUGACUGCCGGCCGCAUGGUCUGGUGGUGGAAAGAUUUUUUGGUUGGGGAUGGACUCGCGGCCUAUCAGCUUGUUGGUGAGGUAAUGGCUCACCAAGGCGACGACGGGUAGCCGGCCUGAGAGGGUGACCGGCCACACUGGGACUGAGACACGGCCCAGACUCCUACGGGAGGCAGCAGUGGGGAAUAUUGCACAAUGGGCGAAAGCCUGAUGCAGCAACGCCGCGUGAGGGAUGACGGCCUUCGGGUUGUAAACCUCUUUUAGUAGGGAAGAAGCGUAAGUGACGGUACCUGCAGAAAAAGCACCGGCUAACUACGUGCCAGCAGCCGCGGUAAUACGUAGGGUGCAAGCGUUGUCCGGAAUUAUUGGGCGUAAAGAGCUCGUAGGCGGUUUGUCGCGUCUGCUGUGAAAUCCCGAGGCUCAACCUCGGGCUUGCAGUGGGUACGGGCAGACUAGAGUGCGGUAGGGGAGAUUGGAAUUCCUGGUGUAGCGGUGGAAUGCGCAGAUAUCAGGAGGAACACCGAUGGCGAAGGCAGAUCUCUGGGCCGUAACUGACGCUGAGGAGCGAAAGCGUGGGGAGCGAACAGGAUUAGAUACCCUGGUAGUCCACGCCGUAAACGUUGGGCGCUAGAUGUAGGGACCUUUCCACGGUUUCUGUGUCGUAGCUAACGCAUUAAGCGCCCCGCCUGGGGAGUACGGCCGCAAGGCUAAAACUCAAAGGAAUUGACGGGGGCCCGCACAAGCGGCGGAGCAUGCGGAUUAAUUCGAUGCAACGCGAAGAACCUUACCAAGGCUUGACAUACACCGGAAACGGCCAGAGAUGGUUGCCCCCUUGUGGUCGGUGUACAGGUGGUGCAUGGUUGUCGUCAGCUCGUGUCGUGAGAUGUUGGGUUAAGUCCCGCAACGAGCGCAACCCUCGUUCUAUGUUGCCAGCGCGUUAUGGCGGGGACUCAUAGGAGACUGCCGGGGUCAACUCGGAGGAAGGUGGGGAUGACGUCAAAUCAUCAUGCCCCUUAUGUCUUGGGCUUCACGCAUGCUACAAUGGCCGGUACAAAGGGCUGCGAUACCGUAAGGUGGAGCGAAUCCCAAAAAGCCGGUCUCAGUUCGGAUUGAGGUCUGCAACUCGACCUCAUGAAGUCGGAGUCGCUAGUAAUCGCAGAUCAGCAACGCUGCGGUGAAUACGUUCCCGGGCCUUGUACACACCGCCCGUCAAAUCAUGAAAGUCGGUAACACCCGAAGCCGGUGGCCUAACCCUUGU
rnacentral:rRNA from 1 species